rnacentral:tRNA from 1 species
AUUUAGGAAACUUCAAAAGUAUUAUAUUUUGAAAAUAUAAGUUUUAACCAAAAUUAACCUAAAUA